rnacentral:tRNA from 1 species
UUGUUGAUUUGAUGACAUAGGUGUCUCCUGAGUGGUGUGAGGUUGAUUUGUGAGGGAGUAUUAGCAAAGGGUUGGGUUCAAAUCCUGUUCAGCAAAC